GAUGAACGCUGGCGGCGUGCCUAAUACAUGCAAGUCGAGCGAACGGACGAGAAGCUUGCUUCUCUGAUGUUAGCGGCGGACGGGUGAGUAACACGUGGAUAACCUACCUAUAAGACUGGGAUAACUUCGGGAAACCGGAGCUAAUACCGGAUAAUAUUUUGAACCGCAGGGUUCAAAAGUGAAAGACGGUCUUGCUGUCACUUAUAGAUGGAUCCGCGCUGCAUUAGCUAGUUGGUAAGGUAACGGCUUACCAAGGCAACGAUGCAUAGCCGACCUGAGAGGGUGAUCGGCCACACUGGAACUGGGACACGGUCCAGACGCCUACGGGAGGCAGCAGUAGGGAAUCUUCCGCAAUGGGGGAAAGCCUGACGGAGCAACGGCGCGUGAGUGAUGAAGGUCUUCGGAGCGUAAAACUCUGUUAUUAGGGAAGAACAUAUGUGUAAGGAAAUGUGCACAUCUUGACGGUACCUAAUCAGAAAGCCACGGCUAACUACGUG
rnacentral:rRNA from 1 species